rnacentral:rRNA from 1 species
CUUGGGUACUCGAGUGGCGAACGGGUGAGUAACACGUGGGUGAUCUGCCCUGCACUUCGGGAUAAGCCUGGGAAACUGGGUCUAAUACCGGAUAGGACGAUGGUUUGGAUGCCAUUGUGGAAAGUUUUUCGGUGUGGGAUGAGCUCGCGGCCUAUCAGCUUGUUGGUGGGGUAAUGGCCUACCAAGGCGUCGACGGGUAGCCGGCCUGAGAGGGUGUACGGCCACAUUGGGACUGAGAUACGGCCCAG